rnacentral:lncRNA from 1 species
AUUUGUAUGUGUUAGGAAAAUGACUUAACUGUUCCACUCUAAAAUUAUAGAAUAGGGUGAUAUGUUUAAGAAUAAUGGGAAGAUAAAAUCAGGAUAUGGGGAGAUCGGUUAGGAUUGUAAAACUUUGAGGUGAUAUUCUUUAGUAGGGAUGUAAACUGAGUGAAGUUGUAGAUUAGGUAAAAGAAAAACAUUGGAGAGGUUUCAAACCAAGAGGGUCAUAAAGGGGGAGGGGAGGUGAAAGCCUUGAAGAAUGUGGCAAACUUUAUGGUUCUUUGUGGUGAGUGGAAAAGCACUGGUUGUUUGAGAAGGGAGUGGUCUAAAGAUAGGAAUAUGUGUGUGUAUUAUAAAAGGACUGAGUCCUAAUUCUCUGAAUAAACUACAGAUCUUUCGCAGAAAGCUGAGUCCUUGCCUAAUUAUUAUUAACCCAGUGUCUUACAAACCUUGGGGAUUAGUCAAGGCUUAUUGAUUGUUAAUUAUUAUCAUUGGGAUUUGAAAAUUCCCUUAACAAUUGGUCCUUCGAGCAGAUCUCAUAUACUUGUUGACUGUCGUUCCAGGGGACACUGAAAACCGUGCACGGGCGGAUGAAUCAUCCGUAAAAAACAAAGUCCUGCCCUCUAAUAAUCGAGGGUUCAUUUCAGGCCGGUGGUGAACUGGAAAACGACAGUAAACGGUGACGAGACCUAACCAAAAUUAUACCUCAGCUGCAAAGAAAAGGUGAAUUACAGGAGAAGGUGAUUCAUGCAAUAUAGCUUGGAGACUGGGUGUGGAUCCAGUCCCUGAGGAGAAAAGACUGGAAACAGCCCCGUUGGGAAGGACCCUACCAGGUUCUGUUAACUACCGCCUUUGCCAUUAGAAUAGCUGAGAGAGCCACUUGGGUCUACGUUACCCACUGCAAGAAGGUUUGGUGAGUAAGGCGUUGGAGAAUGCAGUGACUCAAAAGAUGGUGAGGUACGGGCCCAUCGCAGAGUCUGACCAAUUGAAUGAACGAGAUACAGAUCUAGACCUGAUGGACACCGCUGAUACAUUCAAUCCUGAGGAGCCAGAACUUAAUGAGACGAUUUUCAAUGUUUAGAGACUGUUUAUUCAAUGAAGAUCAUGAUGAUAAUCCUGAACAGAAGAGUUAGGAUUGGUAGUAGUAGUAAACAGCCAUUGAUGAGUAGAUGAUGUAUAUACAUUUAAUGGUUUGAUUUGGUAUGAUUUUAUUGUUUAAUAAAAAUUGAAGUAUCAGAGUGUAACAUUUAGUCAAAGGGUGGAUUUGUAUGUGUUAGGAAAAUGACUUAACUAUUCCACUCUGAAAUUAUAGAAUAGGGUGAUAUGUUUAAGAAUAAUGGGAAGAUAAAAUCAGGAUAUGGGGAGAUCGGUUAGGAUUGUAAAACUUUGAGGUGAUAUUCUUUAGUAGGGAUGUAAACUGAGUGAAGUUGUAGAUUAGGUAAAAGAAAAACAUUGGAGAGGUUUCAAACCAAGAGGGUCAUAAAGGGGGAGGGGAGGUGAAAGCCUUGAAGAAUGUGGCAAACUUUAUGGUUCUUUGUGGUGAGUGGAAAAGUACUGGUUGUUUGAGAAGGGAGUGGUCUAAAGAUAGGAAUAUGUGUGUGUAUUAUAAAAGGACUGAGUCCUAAUUUUUGACUUUAGAACGGGACUGAGUCCUAUUUUUUUACUUUCUCUGAAUAAACUGUACAGACCUUUUGCAGAAAGCUGAGUCCUUGCCUAAUUAUUAUUAACCCAGUGUCUUACAAACCUUGGGGAUUAGUCAAGGCUUAUUGAUUGUUAAUUAUUAUCAUUGGGAUUCGAAAAUUCCCUUAGCAGGCAGUCACCCUCCCCUAGAUGCAGCCAAACCAUCCUUGUUCCUACACUUGCUCAGUUAAGAGAGAGAAUAGAUUUAAAGGAAGCAGGUAGAAAAAGAGAGAGAGAAGUGUGAAGAGACAUAGGAAGGGAGAGCGGAAGGAGAGUGAGGGAGUACAGAGACAGAGGAAAAUGAAGGAAGAUGAAAGUAGGGGAGAUGCAGGAAGAGAGGGAGAGAGAGUUUAAAGAAAGGGAGGCGCAUGAAGAGGUUUGUGAGAUGCAGUUGUUCUGCUGAGCCCAUUCUGUUUUCUCCCCAG